rnacentral:rRNA from 1 species
CCCUUAGAUGUUCUGGGCCGCACGCGCGCUACACUGUUCGACGCAGCGAGUCUUAACCUUGACCGAAAGGUUUGGGUAAUCUUCAGCAAAGUCGAACGUGAUGGGGAUCGAUCAUUGCAAUUAUUGAUCGUGAACGAGGAAUUCCUAGUAAGUGCAAGUCAUCAGCUUGCGCUGAUUACGUCCCUGCCCUUUGUACACACCGCCCGUCGCUACUACCGAUGGAAUGGUUUAGUGAGAUCUCUGGAUUGACGCUGGCUAGGGGGCGACCCUUGGCCAGGCUGUCGAGAAACUGCUCAAACUUGAUCAUUUAGAGGAAGUAAAAGUCGUAACA